rnacentral:rRNA from 1 species
GGGCGUAAAGGGCUCGCAGGCGGUUUCUUAAGUCUGAUGUGAAAGCCCCCGGUCUAUCCGGGGAGGGUCAUUGGAAACUGGGAAACUUGAGCUCUUAUAAAGAGAGUGGAAUUCCACGUGUAGCGGUGAAAUGCGUAGAGAUGUGGAGGAACACCAGUGGCGAAGGCGACUUCCAAAACUGUAACUGACGCUGAGGAGCGAAAGCGUGGGGAGCGAACAGGAUUAGAUACCCUGGUAGUCCACGCCGUAAACGAUGAGUGCUAAGUGUUAGGGGGUUUCCGCCCCUUAGUGCUGUAGCUAAGGCAUUA